UACAGAGGGUGCUAGCGUUGUUCGGAAUCAUUGGGCGUAAAGGGCGUGUAGGCGGUUUGUUAAGUCAUGUGUGAAAUCCCUCGGCUCAACCGGGGAACGACGCAUGAGACUGGCAAGCUAGAGUACCAAAGAGGGGGGUGGAAUUCCCGGUGUAGCGGUGGAAUGCGCAGAUAUCAGGAAGAACACCAACGGCGAAGGCAGCUCGCUGGGACGGUACUGACGCUGAGACGCGAAAGCGUGGGGAGCGAACAGG
rnacentral:rRNA from 1 species